UCCCUGGUGUCUCAGAUGGUAAAGAAUCCACCUGCAAUGUGGGAGACCUGGGUUCAAUCCCUGGGCUGGGAA
rnacentral:tRNA from 1 species